UUGCUUCGGCAGCACAUACAAUAACAAUUGGAAUGAAACAGAAGAUCAGCAUGGCCCCUGCGGAAGGAUGACAUGCAAAUUCAUGAACUGUCCAUAUUGAAA
rnacentral:snRNA from 1 species